rnacentral:rRNA from 1 species
UACAGAGGGUGCGAGCGUUAAUCGGAAUUACUGGGCGUAAAGCGUGCGUAGACGGUUACAUAAGUCGGGUGUGAAAGCCCCGGGCUCAACCUGGGAAUUGCAUUCGAGACUGCGUAGCUAGGGUGCGGAAGAGGGAAGCGGAAUUUCCGGUGUAGCGGUGAAAUGCGUAGAUAUCGGAAGGAACACCAGUGGCGAAAGCGGCUUCCUGGUCCAGCACCGACGUUCAGGCACGAAAGCGUGGGGAGAAAACAGG